AAAGACAGUAGUUAAAUUCUACUAUUAAGGG
rnacentral:tRNA from 1 species